rnacentral:rRNA from 1 species
UACGUAGGGGGCGAGCGUUGUCCGGAUUUAUUGGGCGUAAAGAGCUCGUAGGCGGCUCAGUAAGUCAGGUGUGAAAACUCCAGGCUCAACCUGGAGACGCCACCUGAUACUGCUGUGGCUAGAGUCCGGUAGGGGAGCAUGGAAUUCCUGGUGUAGCGGUGAAAUGCGCAGAUAUCAGGAGGAACACCAGUGGCGAAAGGCGGUGCUCUGGGGCCGGAACUGACGCUGAGGAAGCGAAAAGCGUGGGGGAGCAAAACAGG